UACGUAGGGCGCAAGCGUUGUCCGGAAUUAUUGGGCGUAAAGAGCUCGUAGGUGGUUUGUUACGUCUGCUGUGAAAACCUAGGGCUUAACCCUGGGCCUGCAGUGGAUACGGGCAGACUAGAGGUAGGUAGGGGAGAAUGGAAUUCCCGGUGUAGCGGUGAAAUGCGCAGAUAUCGGGAGGAACACCGGUGGCGAAGGCGGUUCUCUGGGCCUUACCUGACAUUGAGGAGCGAAAGCGUGGGGAGCGAACAGG
rnacentral:rRNA from 1 species